UUGACAACAACUACAGUACCAUCAUUGGCUCACCUUGCUAGGAUUCACGUUGACGACCUUUCAAUGGCGCUUAAAGAGUUAAUGAGCCAGGCUAUAGCUCCACCCCAACAUACAAAGAUAUUCUCGCAGUCUAGACUUUACAUGCAUCCUUGAUACCAGUUUCUCUUGAGACAGGGCUUUGGUGUCACAUUAUGGCAUCUGAGAGCAUUGGAGAAAGAGUGCAAAAAAUGCCUACAUGCAAAUUUCUCAGCAAAUAUCAGCAGUUCAUCUCCCCCCCAAAAAAACAAAAGUGAAUUUGUGACUCGGCGGGGUUUGGUGCGGGUUAUUUUGACACACACAUGUCAUAGACAAGGACACCUGGGAACUGUUUUAAACUGUGAACAAAAUUAACAAUAUUUCUCCUUUCUCUCAACAUUAUACUCUAUAACAUCGCAUCGAUAAAAAAAUGAUUUGCAAGACUUGUAUACUAUGCAAAAACUGCGGCCCGUGGCUCAUUUUAAAUCACAGACCCAUAAAUCAUCACCUUGAAGUGACACUCGCUUCAAGUAGCACAAGUCAUGGUGUUAUUGUUUUGUUUGUUUCCUCUCAGCCGGCAUUGUCCCGCGUCACUUUUCCUGUAUUGGCAGCACCAUGCAUCGAUUUGACGGUAAAGUCACUUUGUAAAAGCAGCGAGUAAGUCUGCGGCCCCCGCUAUCACUGUAUUACACAGCGAGGGUGCACAUAACAAGAUGAACAUUGAUUCGGCAUUACGGAUGAUCGAUAAUGAAAUAAGUAACUUCGGAGGGUGGGAUGGGGGCAAAUUAAAAUGCAUGCCGCCUCGAUACUGCCAAGCUGAGAGGUGACAGCGGGAAGGAGGAGGAGGCGGGGGGGAGACAAGCCUUUCAUUCCGAUGAGUGUAAUUAGUACAUCUGCUUUCAGGUUGCCAAAAACAAUGACAGCUAUUGCUAUUGGCAAGACCUUUAUUAAAUGUGCAGGCCAUUUCGGUGGAGGAAUAUGUGAACAUUCCGAACAGUCUAGUGAGGUACAUAAACCGUGAAGGUUGAGCGAUAAGGGAUUGACGUCUUUUCCCUUAGGCAAAUGCUAUUUCAAAUGAGAGAUGAAAUGCUAACAUGCUAGCUGUUGGUAUGCUAAGAUAUCGUGCGAUCGCAACAUGAGUGCAAAAAGUGCAGAGGCGAACUGAAUACAGUUUUUCCAUCUUUUCGUGUAUUCAGGUACUGUUUCAAAUGAGAGUUGGUCAAAUGUUUACAUGCUAGUAGUUGGUAGGCUAACGUGUAAUGAAUAAGCUAGCUUGUUGCCCCUUGUCGUUGUCUCCACAUUAUGCAGUCUGACCAGUAGUACGGCGCAAGGAAUUCAUUCGCAACGAGGCUGGUUUAAGAAACUGUUCAGUUGCUGCUGGUUUGGUUAUCAACAGAGUGUUCAAAUAGGCUCACCUAUCAGAAAUUGAAUAUACAUGUGGAAACGACGAUGUCAAAUAGACAGAAAUAUGGCAUUACACUUGCUACGUUUCUUUCCAGAUUUGGAGGAAGGAGGCAUUUGGACGUCUAUUUGAGGAAUGCUCUUAUCAUGGAUCACACCACAAUGACCAAGAUGACUUUUCUGCUGAGCAUGUUUCUUCUUUUAUGUUCGAAUGAGCCGACAGCAGUCCAACGGCUCAGAGUCCAGACACCGGUUGCUUUCCCAGCGACAUUGGCUUAGCGGGCCAGCGGACAAAGCCUCCACCGUCUUUCCAGCUGUUGCUGCUGCUGGUUGGAGUCUCGUGAAGAGGAGGCAGCUGUACAAGCACAGCCUCCUUAUCUUCUGCCAUGGACCUUGCAGGGGGUACGAGAUGAAUUCACAAAGGACAAUAGCCAUGGAUGGCCUGUACUAUCGUGGUCAGAGAUAUCAUCAAACAUUAAAUGUUAUAGGAGAUAUAAUGUCGUCUGGAAAAGGAAAUUUGAUGACAAGUUUUACGACUAACGCUGUCUAGUCUGGUUGGAAGACUUGAUGUUGUACAACAACAAUUCCCAAACACCCAUGGGGAUGUGAGAAAAGCGUUUCGUACUUGUUAUGAGGGUGGGCGUGGCGGUGAGGUGGUGCACUCUCUCUGUCAAGAUGUUGAAGAGGUUCAAAAAGUCUCUAGUAAAAGGUCCACAUUAAAAACCAGUUGUGUAGUACGCCCAAGUGAGAGAGAGUUUGAACCUUAAAAUUGCAUGUAAAUAUAUGACAGCAAGGCCCCCCACCGAAAAGGGGAUGCGUCAACUCUGUCAGUUGCAUGGCUUAGAAAGUUUGAAAUAAGAGGCUGUUAUAAAAGCUUUUCUGCACUUUUUUUAAGAGAGAAAAGGGGUGCACCAACUAUUGAAAAAAAUGCAAUUUUAUCCUUUUUUGAGGGGAUACAAGGCGGAGGCAGAGUGGGCGCGACAACUGUUAGAUUAUAGAAAGGGGUGCGUGCCUAAUGAAUUUGUGAAAGGCUGUCAUAUAUUACAUGUGUAAAAAUUAUCUCACGAUCCUUGGUCAAUAAAUUCCAUAUGAAUCAU